rnacentral:misc_RNA from 1 species
GAUGAAGAACGUAGCGAAAUGCGAUAAGUAAUGUGAAUUGCAGAAUUCAGUGAAUCAUCGAAUCUUUGAACGCACCUUGCGCUCCUUGGUAUUCCGAGGAGCAUGCCUGUUUGAGUGUCAUGAAAUUCUCAAACCCAUAAGUCUUUGCGGGCUUACGGGCUUUGGACUUGGAGGCUUGUCGGCGACCGUGAGGUCACAUCGACUCCUCUCAAAUGCAUUAGCUUGAUUCCUUGCGGAUCGGCUCUCGGUGUGAUAAUUGUCUACGCCGUGACCGUGAAGCGUUUUGGCAAGCUUCUAACCGUCUCUAACGAGACAGCUUACUUUGACCUCUGACCUCAAAUCAGGUAGGACUACCCGCUGAACUUAAGCAUAUCAAUAAGCGGAGGA